UCUAGAUUCUUUAAAUUUGUAACUGGAUUUCUUCAUUUAGUUUAGUCUAAAGUAGUAUGUUGUGAAGUUUCUGAAUCAUGAGUAACGAUGAUGUUAAGAUUUCUGUUUGUUUUGUGAAAUUAGUAGCGAAAAAAUUGAAAAUGUUCAUAGAAGAUCAGGAAAUGUCUUUCAAGUUCCACCCUUGGCAAAUGACGUCAUUAUUAUCAAAAAUUCGAGAAUAUUCUUUCGGCUUAUAGAAUAUUCACAAUGAACUUCCUGAAAGAGCAAUCCAUCACUUAUGGGAUACUGGCGUUGCAAACGAAAUUCUGAAUGUUUCGAAUCAGAAUACUGAAUCAGAUAAAGUGCAAAAAGUAAAACAUUACCUGUGCAGUUACCUGGACAUACAUAUUUAUCAGGUAAGUUACCCUGAAUGUAUAUUUGCCAAUAACUCAUAUGCAGUAGAAUCUCUUUUAACUGGCAGUAAGAGGAACUGGUAGAUUCCGAGCAACCGAUUUUUUUUCCAGCAUAGUUGAAUAUAUAUUUCUAGAACUUACUUGUUCAUGUUUUGCAAUCCCAUCUGUAGAAAUUGCAACAUGCGAAAUGCUGUUCAUAUUUUUUCAUCUGUUAGCUACAAUUAAAUAAAUAAUUUCAAAAAUA
rnacentral:misc_RNA from 1 species